GUUCUUCACUGGAUGGGAAGACUGUAUCUAUCCUUUUACUUUGAAAAAAUUAGAGUGUUUAAAGCAGGCUGUACUUUAUGCCUUGAAUACUUCAGCAUGGGAUAAUAAAAUAGGACUCUUAUUCUAUUUUAUUGGUUUUUUAAAAUAAAAGGGUAAUAAGAGGGGAAACUCUCUUAUUAUCUAGAGUAAUGAUUAAUGGAAAUAGUUGGGGGUGUUUAUAUUCCAUUGUCAGAGGUGAAAUUCUUGGAUUUAUGGAAGAUAAACUUAUGCGAAAGCAUUCAUCAAGGAUACUUUCAUGCGAUCAAGAACGAAAGAUUGAGGAUCGAAGACUAUCAGAUACCGUCGUAGUUCAAUCUAUAAACUAUGCCGACCAGGGGGUUAGAAGAUGUGUACAAACCUAGUAGGGAAAACUUGCUAGUCUAACUCUUUUUGGAAACCUUAUGAAAAAAAUCAAAAGUUUUUUGGGGUUCUGGGGGGGAGUAUGGUCGCAAGGCUGAAACUUAAAAGAAUUGACGGAAGGGCACCCCCAGGAGUGGAGCCUGCGGCUUAAUUUGACUCAACACGGGGAAACUCACCAGGUCCGGACAUAGGAAGGAUUGACAGAUUGAAAGCUCUUUCUUGAUUCUAUGGGUGGUGGUGCAUGGCCGUUCUUAGUUGGUGGAAUGAUCUGUCUGGUUAAUUCCGAUAACGAACGAGACCACAGCCUAUUAAAUAGUAGAAAGAAUAAGUAUAUAUGGGUGAAGUGAUAGGUUCUGUGCAUUUG
rnacentral:rRNA from 1 species